rnacentral:rRNA from 1 species
AACGAACGCUGGCGGCAUGCCUAACACAUGCAAGUCGAACGAGACCUUCGGGUCUAGUGGCGCACGGGUGCGUAACGCGUGGGAACCUGCCCUUAGGUUCGGAAUAACUCCCCGAAAGGGGUGCUAAUACCGGAUAAUGUCUUCGGACCAAAGAUUUAUCGCCUUUGGAUGGGCCCGCGUUGGAUUAGCUAGUUGGUAGGGUAAAAGCCUACCAAGGCGACGAUCCAUAGCUGGUCUGAGAGGAUGAUCAGCAAAACUGGGACUGAGACACGGCCCAGACUCCAACGGAAGGCAGCAGGGGGGAAAAUGGAAAAAUGGGCGAAGGCCUAAUCCAGCAAGGCCGGGUGAGUGAUGAGGCCUUAGGGUUGUAAAGCUCUUUUACCCGGGAUGAUAAUGACAGUACCGGGAGAAUAAGCUCCGGCUAACUCCGUG